rnacentral:rRNA from 1 species
GUCUACGGCCAUACCACCCUGAACGCGCCCGAUCUCGUCUGAUCUCGGAAGAACCUAGCUGGUCUUCCAGAGGUCCUGAGUU